rnacentral:rRNA from 1 species
UACGUAGGGGGCAAGCGUUGUCCGGAUUUACUGGGCGUAAAGAGCGCGCAGGCGGUCGUUCAAGUCGCGUGUGAAAGCCCCCGGCUCAACUGGGGAGGGUCACGCGAUACUGAUCGACUCGAAGGCAGGAGAGGGUAGUGGAAUUCCCGGUGUAGUGGUGAAAAUGCGUAGAUAUCGGGGAGGAACACCAGUGGCGAAGGCGACUACCUGGCCUGUUCUUGACGCUGAGGCGCGAAAGCUAGGGGAGCAAACGGG